rnacentral:rRNA from 1 species
UGGGGAAUAUUGCACAAUGGGCGCAAGCCUGAUGCAGCGACGCCGCGUGAGGGAUGACGGCCUUCGGGUUGUAAACCUCUUUCAAUAGGGACGAAGCGCAAGUGACGGUACCUAUAGAAGAAGGACCGGCCAACUACGUGCCAGCAGCCGCGGUAAUACGUAGGGUCCGAGCGUUGUCCGGAAUUACUGGGCGUAAAGAGCUCGUAGGUGGUUUGUCGCGUUGUUCGUGAAAACUCACAGCUUAACUGUGGGCGUGCGGGCGAUACGGGCAGACUAGAGUACUGCAGGGGAGACUGGAAUUCCUGGUGUAGCGGUGGAAUGCGCAGAUAUCAGGAGGAACACCGGUGGCGAAGGCGGGUCUCUGGGCAGUAACUGACGCUGAGGAGCGAAAGCGUGGGGAGCGAACAGGAUUAGAUACCCUGGUAGUCCACGCCGUAAACGGUGGGUACUAGGUGUGGGUUUCCUUCCUUGGGAUCCGUGCCGUAGC